rnacentral:rRNA from 1 species
UACGUAGGUGGCAAGCGUUGUCCGGAUUUAUUGGGUUUAAAGGGUGCGUAGGCGGUCGGGUAAGUCUGAUGUGAAAUCUCACAGCUUAACUGUGAAACUGCAUUGGAUACUAUUCGGCUUGAGAGUUGGAGGGGGGACUGGAAUUCUUGGUGUAGCAGUGAAAUGCGUAGAUAUCAAGAGGAACACCAGUGGCGAAGGCGAGUCCCUGGACAACUUCUGACGCUGAGGCACGAAAGCUAGGGGAGCAAACAGG